rnacentral:tRNA from 1 species
GGCCUUAUAUUCAAUAAAUGAUUAUAGAAUGCAAUUCUAUAGGGGUAGAACAUCUACUGAGGCUU